CAGCUCUUUCUCCUAACAACCAGUUGCAAAUAGGUUUUAUUGCCCAACGGCCAGAUCAAGUAGACAUUUAACAAGCUUUAAUUCUUCAUCAAGCUUCAGAUUUUUCACCCGGGAAAUCUUCCUCCUUUUCACCCUCUGUUUUCUUUUCCUUUGUUAAAAGCAGGACAUGACAGCCUGCAGGGUGAUGUCUAUUGUUACGAGUUGAAAGAUCUAGCAUGCUCUGGAGUCUGAGAGAAUGAAUGAAUUAUUAACAUCCUUCCCUACUGUUCCUGGUAAUGUAUGCAAUGCUUGAAAAGGCUUUUCUUUUAGCUUAAAGAAGCACAGAUAUUAGCGGUUAUUCAAAACAGCCUGGCAGACACAGAUUUAAUAUUGCUUCACCAGGGCUUGAUGGGAGUGAACUUUGGAUCUUUCUGGCUGAACAGAAGAAAGGCAAUAGUCCAGGAGAAGAAACAGCAGCUUUACAACAGCAACUAAACAGCUUGUCCCAGCAGCCAUGGUAAUUUGUUUGAGAGGAGGAAGAAGAGGAGGAAGACUACUGAGUUUUCAACCAGAAAGACUUGCCUACUGCUAUCUAAUUUUUUUUGUAUAACCAAGGCAGUUAACUUGUAAACUGUUACCUGCAGAUCAUUUUGUGGCCAAAGAGCUUGUGGGGGAUAAUGCGUAUCUGCAAUCAACGCACAUGCAAGGAAGAAAAAUCAGACUGUACCCAGCAGAAAGAUUCUCCCAUAAUUACCCAACUUUUUCUGGUGAAGCGCCUGGGAUGUGUACCGUCACACAGCAUUUUGCAAGCGGUUUGAUUUGCUCACUGCGUUUCCUGUCCUCUUCUGAGGAAUCCAGGGAGCUCCCGGGCUGGAAAUGUGUGGCAACGAAGCGGACAGACCUCAUUGGGGAGUGCUGGACUGUAUGGCAGAAGGGAUGAAGUGACCUCUCUGAUCCUUUCCAAAUCUGUAUCUUAGGACUGUGAUAAGAGACUGAAAUGUAAACCUUAUGCUAGCGUGUAAUGCACACUUUGAGCACAAAUGGAAACCGUGAGGGAGGGAAAAAAAAGUUUUAGUGUACUUUUCACACUGGAAAUGACUUAACCUCCUAUAUUUUCUUCCUCUUUUUUCUUUUUUUUUUCCCAGCAUACUCAUCUUACUACUCCCAGCAUACUACUCCCAGUAACUCAUUAACAAAGUUUCAGUGAAUUCGAAGCAAAGGCAAAGAGGAACAGUUUGCUCUCUUGCAGCAGUUAUUGAAUGUGCCCCCCAGUUACUUUUUUUCCCACAUUUCCUUUAAACUAACAAAGAGCUGUAAAUAAACACCCUUAGAAGCCAAACAACAGACACCAAAUAUUUUGAGAAUGAAACUCAUCAGAAAGGCCCAUUCCCUGGGCAAAGCGCUCAAUCAGUUUAAUUUUUUUUUUCUUACUGAAAAUGUGGGUGGUUUUCAAAUACAGGAAAGAAAACAUGAUGGCUUGUGGUGAUACUUUCCACCAGAAAGAUGCAGCUUUAAGGGCUUUUGGUUUCCAAAUACCUACACCCACAGGAGUGGCCUCGUCUGUUGUAGAAGGCCAUGCCUGAUUAGUUGUACGAGUCAAAUUAAAUGGCAAUAAUAGCACACAGCAGUUGAUGCGUGUUGCAGUGGAAGCUUUGUGUCAGCUGGGUAAUUAAUAUGGCAGCUGCCUCCCAGACUACGGCACUGUGGUUUUUAAAUAUGCAAAAUGCUGCUGUGUAAAAGAAGGGAAAAAAUCUGUUCUCCACAUCCCUGGUGGAUAGGGCAAGAAAUAGGCUUAAAUCACAUCAAGGAUGGUUUGGUCUAGUAUUAAAU
ensembl:lncRNA